GUUAAGCCCGCCAGCGCCGAUGGUACUUGGAGGUAGACCUCCUGGGAGAGUAGGUCGCUGCCAGAA
rnacentral:rRNA from 1 species